UAUCCAACAGCCGCCUUUCACAUGCCGGCUAAUAACGCUAAAAGACACAGCGUUUCAGCCGUUACACCUACUUAACGUUACCUGGAGUGGAUUGGCUUCCUCAGAUCUUGGACACGAUGCUUUAAUUAUUUUUCUGGUGCAAGUCGGUGUCAUAAAAAGCGCUAUCUGUAAUUGUUUCGACGGUAUAGACACUUCUCCUUUUUCCUCUCUUCUUCUUCUUGUGA